rnacentral:rRNA from 1 species
AACUGUGAUCAGACCACCUUGACAAUGCUGGAGCCCGUCUCAUCUUGGAAGCUAAGCGGGGUUGGGCCUGGUUAGUACUUGGAUGGAAGACAGCUAGACCCGUCACAAUAA